rnacentral:rRNA from 1 species
UGCCAGCCGCCGCGGUAAUACGUAGGGAGCGAGCGUUAUCCGGAAUUAUUGGGCGUAAAGGGCGCGUAGGCGGUUAUGCAAGUCGGAGGUGAAAUCCCUCAGCUCAACUGAGGAACUGCCCCCGAAACUGCAUAACUCGAGUCCCGGAGAGGGUAGCGGAAUUCCCAGUGUAGCGGUGAAAUGCGUAGAUAUUGGGAGGAACACCAGUGGCGAAGGCGGCUACCUGGACGGGUACUGACGCUGAGGCGCGAAAGCGUGGGGAGCAAACAGGAUUAGAUA